GACGAACGCUGGCGGCGUGCUUAACACAUGCAAGUCGAACGGAAAGGCCCUGCUUGCAGGGUACUCGAGUGGCGAACGGGUGAGUAACACGUGGGUGAUCUGCCCUGCACUUCGGGAUAAGCCUGGGAAACUGGGUCUAAUACCGGAUAGGAGCCAUUUUUAGUGUGAUGGUUGGAAAGUUUUUUCGGUGUAGGAUGAGCUCGCGGCCUAUCAGCUUGUUGGUGGGGUAAUGGCCUACCAAGGCGGCGACGGGUAGCCGGCCUGAGAGGGUGGACGGCCACAUUGGGACUGAGAGACGGCCCAGACUCCUACGGGAGGCAGCAGUGGGGAAUAUUGCACAAUGGGCGCAAGCCUGAUGCAGCGACGCCGCGGGGGGGAUGACGGCCUUCGGGUUGGAAACUCCUUUCGCUAGGGACGAAGCUUUUUGUGACGGUACCUAGAUAAGAAGCACCGGCUAACUACGUG
rnacentral:rRNA from 1 species